AGAAUCAAAUCACCAAUCAAUACAACACACGAACCAAUAUUUAUUUUAAUAAGAUUGUGGUUUGUGGACUUGCAAAAUUACAUCGAGGUUAUGCUCUUUACGAGGAAGUUUCGUCUGGUAGAACUAUUUGUUGGUGAGUAACAACUCUUUUUUUGUUUAUAAUAUAAUCGACUGUGGUGUAUCGGUCAAUUUGUACGUAUCUUAACUAAUUUCACGGGCACAUGAUAUCUUCUAUCAAUACAGGUAUUGGAUAACUCGCCUCCACUAAAAUUUGAACCUCCGUGAUCGCGCAAUGCUUUGUGCACCAGGCUAAAAUUUGAACUUGAGCCCUUAUAAUUUUUAGUUCACUUUAUUGUUCAUUAAGUCACGCUCUUCAAGUGAGAAACAUCCAUUAUCCCCAAGGAAUCACCUAAUGUGCUUUCCAUUCCUAUUUCAUUCAAGUUGAUUUUUACUCGGAAAGUUAACUAUUAAUGUAAGGGUUUUGAUAAUUUUUGAAUUUAUCAGAGCCUAUAUUUACCACAAAAAUUUGUAAAUCUAGGGCGAAAUUAAUGGACGAAAGCACAUACGGUCAGUUUCUAACUUCAUAACAUAAUCUUUUCUAUUGAGACUUCCCAUUGUUAUAUCUUUAAUGAUUUUAUUAUCGGCGUGUUGUGGAGUCUGCAGUGUUUGAAAUUAGAGAAAAGCUUGCUUCUUUUUUAAUAGAUUCGAGGUGAAUACAAGGUGCUGAGCUUGAACAGCAAGGCGAGCCGCUCUACUCUAGUCACGGCUACAAGUUACAGUCUGAGUCUUUUUCAGUUGUAUUCGUUUGCAGGGGCGGAGUCACAAUUUUUUGUAGGUAGUUUUCACUCAGACCUUGUACUUAUAUUUAGAAAUUUAUUUAAUAUGUAUAAGUAAUUUAUUCAGAAUCUAGUAAAUUACCUUUUCUAAAGUUCAAAAUUCAAAACUUAAAAUUCUAGCUCCGGCUCUAUUUAUGCGGGCACUGUGCUCAACAUGUCGUGACAACAAAAGGAAACACCUAAUAUUCGAAAAAAGAUUAACCUAAUCUUAGUACGUAAUGUUAAUGAAAUGGAGGACCAUGCAUAGAUGAAGGUAUUCUGACAUAGGUAGAUAUUAUUAUGCAAUGGAGUAUAAUCUCGCGAUGAUUAACAAAAAUACUCGAAAGCUCUUCUGGUUUUAAGAAAUUUUUUUGUAUUUCUAUCAUGAACCAAGCUGACUUCGUAAAGGCUUAUGAGCUAAAAGAGGUGAAAGAGGUUGAGUCAAAAAUUUAACCGGCAAAUAUAUAUUUUGUAUAUAGUUAAUGUAUAAUAUAUGCAUAUUGACCGGUAAAUAUAAAUAUUUUCGGCUGAGCGGCCAAAUAUGUAACUUUUUCUUAGAACGAAGGCUUUAUGGGUAUUGUGAUAUUGAGUGUUCUCUCUCUCCUCUUUGUUUGUAUCUCUGAUUUCCUCAUCUUUUUCUGUAUCAAUCUAAUUUUCAUCCUUUUUCUUUUUAGCUUUCUGUUGCAUUAUCCUUGUUAUCGUUGGCAUUUGCUUUGUACUUCUAGUCAGUAUUGAGUUAAUACAAUUAAUUGGUUUGGUGUAAUAUCUAGGUUGUUUCAAUUUCUCAACAUCUUCACUUGUUUUUCUUUUCUUUUGGGGGAAUCAAAGACCUAGAACAUGGAAUUCAUGAACCUACCUUUUCUAUUUUUUACUUUUGUAUUGUUUUGUGUUAAUCAUAGCAAUAGCACUCUUUGCUUUUUCUAAUUUUUUCUCUUCCAUUUAGGUUUUUAAAAGUUUGAACACUAUAAAUAAUAGUCGCGCUCCCAUAUGAGUGUAUCGGUGAAGCAACUCGAAAAGUUUAGCAAGUUAAGAAGAAUGUUUCAAUCAAAGUUGGAUUUAAACUUUAUGUACUGAUGGUGUAAAAAUAUUUAUACUAGACCAGACCACUUAUAAAAUAAUUACAAAUAAGUAAAAAUUACUAUAAUUAGUAGCCUGAUAGCCCAAACUGAUGCAGGUUGGGGUAUGAUAGAUGGGCCACGAAGUCUUACAUGGCUUUUAAACGGGGCAUUUGCAUUUAUACCCAUUUUUAGGUCACGUUUUAACUUGUAUCCGCUUUGCCAAAAAAAUUGCAAGCGUACUCACUUUUUCGCGUAACUUCAGCAUACGGGGCUGAAGUAGCAAAGGCAAUCACGCAAAACUUCAUCAUUCUAGUAGACGGGCCUGAAGUAGCAAAAAUUGCUGAACCAAGUGUGCUGAUGUUUUUGUUUGUAAUUGCUGAACUUAAACAUAGUAGCUGAAAUUUUGUUCUCUAUUUGCUAACGUUUUUGUUUGUAAUUGCUGAAUUUAAGCAUAGUAGCUGAAGUUUUGUGAUUUAGUUCAUUUAGAAAAACUUUAGCACUAAAUAAGCUGAAGUUUUUUUUGUCCUGGAUUUAUUAGUUUUGUCAUAAAACUUUUUCAAAAACUUCAGCAGAAGAUGUUGAAGUUAUUUAGUUCAUUUAUAAAAAUUUCAGCACUAUAUAAGCUGAAGUUAUUGAAAAAGCUUUCUAACAUACUAGAUAAAUAAUCACCUUAUUCUUUCAUAGUGUAUUACUUCUAUAAAUUAAUCAGAUUGUCAACAUUAUCUAAAUCAUAAAUUUUGGAAACAAUAAACGUGAAAGGAACAUAAUUAUCAUGAAAAGAAUCACUAGGUGUGACCUUAAACUUCCCGUGCGUAGAAAUAUUCACAAACUAUUGUUUACAUUAUUUAUAAUUUAUUUUUAAAUAACCUGAUAAACAUGCUUAUGGCAAUCAUCCCAUGAAAUGAAUUUUCAUAGCAGCACCAACAGUAGCAAAAGAAAGAAGAAGAAGAAGAAGAAGAAGAAGAAGAAGAAGAAGAAGAAGACGAAAGAGCAGAAUGAGGAGUAAAAAGGGGGCUGAAGUUAUUUAAAAAGUGAAUACAAAUUAAAAAAAUUUAAAAGAAUAAAUAUAGGUUAAAUGGGGCGACCAAAUAGAGCGCCCCGUAUAAUUUUUACCUUUUAAAUGGGCGAGUUUGAAGACCAAAAUAGAAGAAGUAGGUUGGGACUUGGGAUCAAUUAAAGCCACCUUUGGUUAGAAGAUAAAUUAACGUUCAAAAGUUAUUAAUUUGGAAACAAGAAUCAAGACAAAUUCUUUAUUGAUACUCCCUUCGAUCCAAAAUAAAUGAUUUUUUGGCCUUUUUUGUGGUCCAAAAUAAGUGAUUUUUUCAGAUUUCAAGAAUGAAUUAAUUAUUUUUUUCCUACAUUGCCUUUGGAGUAAAUAGUGUUGGAGUAUGUGUUAGGAGUAUUUAUGUGAAGAGAUAGUAAAGGUUAAUGUGGUCAAUUUUAUUACUAAUUAAUGUUAAAAGAUAGAUUUCUUCAUCUGUGUGAAAAUAGCUAAAAAUUACUUAUUUUGGACGGGAGGAAGUAUAAGUUUUGUCAAUUUAAGUGCACUUCGUCAUGAGAUAUGAGAAAUUCAGAAUGAGUGACAAUGGAAGUUGUAUAACUGAUCUGAUUGUAUAAAUAUUUUUUAUAUUACCAAUGGCCAUUUGGUUCAAGAGAUUAGGUGUGUUAUUCCGAGAUAAAUUGGUUCAAGCUAUCAUGGUAGUAUAUACCCAGUUCUGAAAUCACCAUUGAAGUUGUACUCAUAUUGAACAAAACUUUGCAAGUUUACCCGCUUUAGGAUCAACUUCAGACUUAGCGUGCCUGAAAGACUUGUCUGGGAUAUAAUAGUAAUGUCUGAUCAACUGUAAUUGAGAAUCCAAAUGCUUGGGAUUAAGUUAUCAGG
rnacentral:lncRNA from 1 species